UAAGGGAACCUCAGGAUGGAUUCUAGAACAAUCGGUACACAGGUGACCAUUCAACUGUAAAGCUUCUAUGAGUGUUUAGGCAAAGGAUUCCUGAGAAGAUCUGAGCUGGAUGGAACUAGAAAUAGUGAAAAAUAAAAAAUGUAACAGUGUCUGCUGCUUCUAGUCAACAUGGAUUGCAGAUCAACACAGCUGAUCUCAAUUUGAACAUGAAUGCUCAUUCAAAAAACCCCAGGUCUCCAACCAUCUCCCGCUCGUUGGUUUUGACUAAGCAAAUUCCGAGACAGCAGCCAAUGCGAUGAAGAGCCAAUGCCAAGGGCUGGUUCCCUCCCUUCAGUUAAUCCUCUCAGGAAACAGACUCAAAGUCACACCCAACGCUCUGAUUCCCUAAUGCCCUAGGUGUUUGCUAAUUCAAACAAGUUGGCAAUGAGGAUUAGCCCUCACAGCUCAUCCUAGGAUACAAAGAGGCCAUACAACAAGGAGAGAGAUGGGCUGAGGGUUACUAUGUAAGAAAGAGGGAGAAACUUUAGACAUUUUUCCUCUAGUUGCAGCCAGGGAAACUGUACAGGGAAAAAAAAGGGGAGAUGAGGGGGAGAUCUAGACAUGACCCAACCUUUAAUGCCAUGGUCGCUGCCCCUAAGAAAUUUAGAAUGGCACAUCCUUCUUUGUUGUUCACUAAGGCAUCUUAUACACCGAUGCCCAUUGCUGGCACUUUAAAAGUGCUCGAAAUAUUUGAUAAGAGUAGGUGUGGUUGCACUCAGGAGGCAGAGGCAAGAGAAUUUUUGUGAGUUCAAAGCCUAGGAACUUUGGAGGGUUUCUAAAAGCCAAAAAAGAUUUUUCAGAGGAUGACUCUCUCUGAAUAGAAAAACUCAAAGAUAAGAAGAAACAUUAGGCUCUCUCUCUCCCUCCUCUCUUCCUGCUACUGCCCCCUCUCUCCCUCUCAAUUAAACCUCUUACACAUGGAA